ACUGCUAAUAUCUAAAUGCAGCAUGCCAGUCCUGAGAUGCAGGGACUGGCAUGCUGCAUUUAGAUAUUAGCAGU
ensembl:miRNA